rnacentral:lncRNA from 1 species
GCCCAUGGUGGAUCAGUAUUGGUGUUAGUGGUUAGGCUGCGACGGUACAAUAGAGGUUGUGUCGGUGAUAUCCCUUUUUUUUGAAAUGGUGUGAGUGAUACAUGAGGGAAGUGAACAAGGAGAUGAGAGAGAGACGUAUCUCUUGCACUCCAUCACUCAUUUUUUGUGUGUCACCGCUUGACGCACCUCUUGUGCUUCAUUACUCCCUUUUUUUGUGUGUAACCGUUCACCGAUAGAUUGUUAAUAGAGAAACCGUGUUGUAUCACUACUAGUAGUAAGGCCUUGUUUAGUUCCGAAAUUUUUUUGGUUUUCGGUAUUGUAGCACUUUUAUUUUUAUUUGAUAAUUAUUAUCCAAUGAUGGACUAAAUAGGCUCAAAAGAUUCAUCUAAUGAUUUACAGACAAACUGUGCAAUUAGUUUUUAUUUUCGUCUAUAUUUAAUACUCCAUACAUGUGCCGCAACAUUCGAUGUGACGUGGAAUCUUGAAAAUUUUUUGGUUUUUGAGUGAAAAAAACAAAGCCUAAAUUGCAUCGCAAGAGUCCUAUCCUACUUUAGCCCGUUGAUGUGUGUUGUGUAGUGUACGAUGUCUCACUUGUUAAACCCAAUAAUUCGUCCCAAUAUAACAAAAUAUUUUAUUGAUUUUCUAAGUAAAAUAAUAACUUGUUUAGAGUUACUAGACUGCCCAGAGUCCAAUAUGCACACCGUUGGCCUCGCCACCUGGUCGG